AAUGGGAUAGCUGGGUCAAAUGGUGAUUACAUUCCAAGUUUUCUGAGGAAUCUCCAUAUUGCUUUGCAGAUUAGUUUCACCCAUUUUCAGUCCCACCAGCAAU
rnacentral:pre_miRNA from 1 species